GUAGUGGAGUAAAAGGCGCUUUGCCCGGUGAGGGGAGAAAUGAGAGCGAUCUGGAAGGGGUCUGCAAAACCCGGGUUGGAUUAGACAGAGAUGGGAGGAACGAAGGCAGCUGCGACAGGGCCAAAUGCACCCCGGGCACGCAAAUUUCGGGCCGGAUUCUUCCUCGGGAGACGGAGUAAUGCGUCAUGCCUAAUGCAGUGGAAACAAGCAAGACCUGGCCUAGAGUUUCCAGACCUGGGCUCGCAGGGGGCUCCGGGAGGGGGCUAUUUAGUGGCUGAGGCGGCGUGGGCUGCCCUCGUCUUCCUGGCAGCGACGUGCAAGAAGGAGGGGCAAAAGGAGGGCUGGACUCGGGCACGAAAGGAUCUGGAGCGCCGGCUGCACCGAAGCAGGCAGUGGCAAGCAUGUUCUUCACCACUAGUACCACCUGGGAGGCCUGGAGGGCAGUAUGGAGUGUCCUUGAAAAACUAAGAAUAGAGCUCCCAUACAACCCAGAAAUAACACUUCUAGGCGUAUAUCCAGAGAAAACCGUAAUUCAAAAGGAGGCAUGCACCCUGAUGUUCACUGCAGCACUAUUUACAACAGCCAGGACUGGAAGCAGCCUAGGUGUCCAUCAACAGAGAAACGGACAAAGAAGUUGAGAUGAAUGGAGGGGCCAUCAGCCAGUGAGUAACAGGCUACCGCUUCCGCUGACAACCAGCAAGAAAUCAGAGACCUCUGUCCCACAAGCCUAAGGAACUGAAUUCUGCCGAUCCCGGAAAGGGCAGUUAGCAGGAUCCUUCCCGA
ensembl:lncRNA